ensembl:lncRNA
GUGGGACACAAUCAUGAAGUGGAACGACAUUUAUUGGAUAUUUCAAACUUUUUUAACAAAUCAAAAACUGAAAAAUUGGGCGUGCAAAAUUAUUCAGCCCCCUUAAGUUAAUACUUUGUAGCGCCACCAUAUCCAAUAAAUGUCGUUCCACUUCAUGAUUGUGUCCCACUUGUUGUUGAUUCUUCACAAAAAAAUACAGUUUUAUAUCUUUAUGUUUGAAGCCUGAAAUGUGGCAAAAGGUCGCAAAGUUCAAGGGGGCCGAAUACUUUCGCAAGGCACUGUAGGUUAUCCUUGACGUUAUUGCCAUGAUGCCAGGUAUACCUUGACGUUAUUGCCAUGAUGCCAGGUAUACCUUGACGUUAUUGCCAUGAUGCCAGGUUAUCCUUGACGUUAUUGCCAUGAUGCUAGGUUAUCCUUGACGUUAUUACCAUGAUGCUAGGUUAUCCUUGACGUUAUUGCCAUGAUGCUAGGUUAUCCUUGACGUUAUUGCCAUGAUGCCAGUUAUACCUUGACGUUAUUGCCAUGAUGCCAGUUAUACCUUGACGUUAUUGCCAUGAUGCUAGGUUAUCCUUGACGUUAUUGCCAUGAUGGUAGGUUAACCUUGACGUUAUUGCCAUGAUGCCAGGAAUACCUUGACGUUAUUGCCAUGAUGCCAGUUAUACCUUGACGUUAUUGCCAUGAUGCCAGUUAUACCUUGACGUUAUUGCCAUGAUGCUAGGUUAUCCUUGACGUUAUUGCCAUGAUGCCAGGUAUACCUUGACGUUAUUGCCAUGAUGCUAGGUUAUCCUUGACGUUAUUGCCAUGAUGCUAGGUUAUCCUUGACGUUAUUGCCAUGAUGCUAGGUUAUCCUUGACGUUAUUGCCCCAAUGCCAGGUAUACCUUAACGUUAUUGCCAUGAUGCCAGUUAUACCUUGACAUUUUUGCCAUGAUUCCAGUUAUACCUUGACGUUAUUGCCAUGAUGCCAGGUAUACCUUGACGUUAUUGCCAUGAUGCCAGUGUCAAGUCUCUGACAUUAUUUAGAGCGUUUGUUAGUCGGCUAACUGGUUGAUCCUGCGGUCUGGAACAGCCCCACGUCUCUGUUCAACCACCAGACCUCCAUGUUUUAAUAAACACUCUGAACCACCAGACAGACAUGUUUUAAUAAACACUCCGAACCACCAGACCUCCAUGUUUUAAAUCAAAUCAAAUCAAAUUGUAUUUGUCACAUACACAUGGUUAGCAGAUGUUAAUGCGAGUGUAGCGAAAUGCUUGUGCUUCUAGUUCCGACAAUGCAGUAAUAACCAACAAGUAAUCUAACUAACAAUUCCAAAACGACUGUCUUAUACACAGUGUAAGGGGAUAAAGAAUAUGUACAUAAAGAUAUAUGAAUGAGUGAUGGUACAGAGCAGCAUAGGCAAGAUACAGUAGAUGGUAUCGAGAACAGUAUAUACAUAUGAGAUGAGUAUGUAAACAAAGUGGCAUAGUUAAAGUGGCUAGUGAUACAUGUAUUACAUAAGGAUGCAGUAGAUGAUAUAGAGUACAGUAUAUACGUAUGCAUAUGAGAUGAAUAAUGUAGGGUAUGAGCUGUGAACCCACACUUUCAAUUGAUUCAUUUUAGGUAAUAAGCUUCUAGUGUUAACAUGCAGAAAACCCAGGCUUUUACGAGAGCAGAAAUCAGUGAAGCAGAUAUCAGAGCACAAGUCAGAGUUGGGGCUAGCAACAGUAGAUGGGCCAGGGUGUACAUGCACAUUUCCAGAUAUCAUCAACACUAAUACAAUCAAGGCACGGCAGAGGACAGGGAGAACUCCGCAGUGCUGAUUUAUGACAUCUGAAUGUGCA